ACGAACGCUGGCGGCAUGCCUAACACAUGCAAGUCGAACGAGAAAGGGCCUUCGGGUCCGAGUAGAGUGGCGAACGGGUGAGUAACGCGUAGACAACCUACCCUUCAAUCUGGGAUAACCCUUCGAAAGGUGGGCUAAUACCGGAUAACACAGUCUUUCGAGUGAGAGGCUGUUGAAAGUUCAGGCGUUGAGGGAUGGGUCUGCGUCCCAUUAGCUAGUUGGUAGGGUAACGGCCUACCAAGGCGACGAUGGGUAGCGGGUCUGAGAGGAUGAUCCGCCACACUGGCACUGAGACACGGGCCAGACUCCUACGGGAGGCAGCAGUGGGGAAUCUUGCGCAAUGGGCGCAAGCUUGACGCAGCAAUGCCGCGUGAGUGAAGAAGGCCUUCGGGUCGUAAAGCUCUUUAUCUGGGGGAAGAUGAUGACGGUACCCCAGGAAUAAGCACCGGCUAACUACGU
rnacentral:rRNA from 1 species